rnacentral:lncRNA from 1 species
UUUACAGUACCCUAAGAACCGUAGCGUAGCAAUGGAGUUCGUCCCUUCGGGGACAUCCGAUAAAAUUGGAACGAUACAGAGAAGAUUAGCAUGGCCCCUGAAUCGAGAAAUGGUCUAAAUUUUUUUGCCGGUCGUCGGCGUUGAGCUCCGGUACAAAAAUCUGCAUUUGUUUUGUCGGUCGCCGCCGGCGAGAGUUCGUAAGUACUCGGAAUUCCUUUCGACUGUUUUAUUUCCUGUCUCCCCUAAUUUAGCUGACGGCGAUAAGCAUAUUAUUGUGCCCUAGUUUUUUUUUUUUGCUUUUAAGAAUCCUGAUAUUACUAUUGCUGUGAAAUUCACUCAUGAUACAUCUGAAACAUUUAUGAGAAUAUAGGCAAAUUAAGCAAAUUUGAAGAUAAACAGAUUUUGAGGAAAUGUUGUAAAGAUCACUAUUUGUUUAGUUUUUGCUGCAUAUCCUGUAUUGCAAAAGUUUAAAGUAUAGGUGGAAACUCAGCAAGUGUGUUACAAUGUCGAUGGUGUUCGAUGAAUAUCUGGUAGCCAUUAUGGUUGAAGAUUUAUUUGUCCCUCUACAGUAUAAGGUUGUUUAUUGUUGAAGAUAGGGGUAAGAUUUGCAUAUACUCGAGGAUCUCCACUUGUGGCAAUACACUAGGUACGUUGUUGUUGAUACUUGUAUUUCAUUGUUUUUAAACUGGACAUGUAGACAACUAAGUAAUAAUGAAUGCUGGAGUGAAAUUUUAUCUAAAUAGGGCGCGUAGGAAACAGGGUUAAAGAAUUGUAAUGAUCAUUAAAGGUGCAAUCUUUAAAGCUUUGAUAAAAUUAUGCACAUUAACUAUGAAAAUGUUAGGGAGAAAAUUGUUCGUUAUUCUUUAUUUCGGCAAAAUAUUUGAUCUAUCAUUCAGGCAAAUUGUUUAGUUGGGGAACAUGUAGAAAUCAUCAGUUUUGUUUGUGCCAAUUCUUCCUUCAUUGCUAAUACACCAGAUAAUGGUGAUACGAAAGGCGUCUACCGGACAUGUUGCAGUGGUUUUCCUACAUAAAUGUAAAAUUCUGUGACACCAAGGGAAAAAAUAGCCUUUUUGGGGUCUUAUAGGUGGUAACUGGAUACGGUGAGAAAUUGUGUUCCUCUUCCUUGGAGGAAUGUUAAGGGAAUUGUGUGAUACUUGUGGUUUUUUGGUGGAUAUGUGGGAUUAUCUAGUAUUUGUGUUGUGCUGGUGGGAGGUAGUAGGUAGUUUGAUGGAAUAGUCGAGGUGUUUGUAAGCUAGCCCGCAAAUCAUUGCCUUAAAAGAAUAGCUAGUCAAAGGUGUAUUACUGCAUAUCAGUAAGCUGUUCUAAAUCAAGCUUGUUGGGAAGUAUCUAUGUUCUAAGCUAAUGUGGAUGAUGUUAAGUAAGCUUUUUUCUCAUCCAGUAACCUUUGUGACAUAAACAAUUUCCCCUCUUUGUUUAACAAUGAAGUAUUUCCUUGCAGCGAGGUCACUGAAGGAGGAGCCUUCCUAUGCAAAGGUGAAAAAAGGGACUUCAAAUGGAGGUCCUAGGGUUGUAAGAAUAAUACAUGCCAUGAACUUAUGAAAUUAAGAUGGAGUUGAAAACUCAUUUUUCUAUUGCUUGUGUUUGGCCUCUAUCCAGUUGGGAGGAAGAUCGGAUUCAUAAGUUCUUAUCCCGGUCUAUAAUUGUCUAACUGGUCGGGAGAGAGAUCAGAUUCGUGAGUUCCUAUCCUGCUAUAUUGUUAGCGUUGUCUAACUUGUCGAGAGGAAGGCCAGUCAUCCUCGGUAUCUUGAUGUAAUGUAUCACCUGUUUUUGUAUAUUAAUCAAGUAUCAUCAGGAUCGAUUUCAAUUGAUAUCAACACUUUGUGAAUUGUGAUGAGCCAAUAUGCUUUAUCUGUACAUUGUGUUUGAACUGCAAGAUUUAAUUAGUUAAAAUUAUUUCCUUCAUGUGUUAUGUUUCUAUGACUCCUGAGUCCUGCUCCACUCUGAGCUGCUGAGGUCGUUUUGCUACGACACAUAUUGAGGUUUUUUUUUUAGUAUUCAGACUUCAGUGGUAUGAUGUCAUUUUACAGAUUGGGUUCGGUGUAGGGCGAGCCACAUGCAAGCUAGAAUCAUGUCCCUUCCACUCUUGAUCGUGGGAGCACGUCACAACAACAACAAAUCUAGUGUGAUCCCACAAGUUGGGUAUGAGGAGGGUGAUUUGUACAUAGACUUAAUGAAGAUUGUGAGCGCACGUUGAAUGAUAUAAUUCUUUUUGUAUAAUUUGGUCAUGCACGAAUGUUCAUCAUUAUACGAUGCAUGUUAUUUCUAAUACGAUAAUCCAAACCGUCAAUGAGAAAUAAUAACAAGAAAACUAAUUUUAGUAUAACUUGUCUUCAAACCAAACAACUUUUUUAUGUGUUUUGUCUAAAGAUUUGUACCUGCUUAGGGAUCCAAUGGAUUUAGGUUGUGUCACGUACCAUUUAUGAAAGGGAAAAACACUUUUAUUAAGACUUCUUUUUUUCCAUUUUAGGACAAAAUCUUAUUCAUCCAAAGUUCCCAAUUACAUCAAAUUUAGAGGUAUUUCGCUUGGUUAAUCAUGAAUCAAAUAUUACGAUGAUAACUCAAUUGUUUAUGUUGAGUCAUUAAAAAGUGUCAAAAUAAUAUAGUACAAAAAAUGAGGGAAAAUUUUGACAUAUUCAGAAGGAGCUUCACUACGUGAAUAAAUACUUAAGGGGCUGAUGUUGAAAUAAAUAUUCUUAAAAUAGGACGAAAUGUUUGAUUUUCGAAACUCAAGGACCCAAAACGACAUUUAUUCAACUUUUAUGUUCUUUUACGUUUCUCCCACAUCGAGCCCAGAGAAAAGCUUACAGCACCCUAAGAACCGUAGUGCAGCAAUGGAGUUUGUCCCUUCGGGGACAUCCGAUAAAAUUGGAACGAUACAGAGAAGAUUAGCAUGGCCCCUGCGCAAGGAUGACACGCACAAAUCGAGAAAUGGUCCAAGUUUUUUUGCCGGCGGUCGGCUCUGAGCUCCGGUAGACAAAUCUGUAUUUGUUUUAUCAAUCGCCGGCGUUGAGGUUCGUAAGUUGCUCGGAAUUUCUUUCAUCUGUUUUAUUUCCUGUUUCCCCUAAUUUAGCUGACGGCGAUAGGCAUAUUAUUGUGCCCUAGUUUUUUUCUUCCUUUUAAGAAUCCUGAUAUUACUGUUGUUGUGAAAUUCACUCAUGUUACAUCUGAAACAUUUAUGACUAUGAACAAUUAAGUACUUUAUUCCACUCUCAUUUGGUUUUUGGUGGAUUAAGUGUGGGAUUGCCCAAUACUUGUGCUGGCAGGAGCUAGCAUACACUAAUAAAAUAGUCGAGCUGCGUGCAAGCUUGCUCAGACUGUCAGACACCAUUGUUAUUGAAUACAGUUGCGUGUUUGCUAUUCAGAAUCGACAAUUGUUUGUAGAUUCGUUCUACUAUCUUUAAGCUACUUACACAUUUUAGCUGCUUUUUGUGCAAUGUUUUUACUCCAUCCUUUUAUACUUUUUAAGUCGAGUAAGCUUGUUCAAAUUGUUGGUGAACUCUUUUAUGAUAUUUCUCUCCUAGUAAUGUGGCAGCGUAUAAAUAAUUAUGCAGUUCGUGGGAUCUAUCUCUGAUUCCCGGAAGAUGGUGGAAGUUGGUUCAACAGAUGGACUGCAAAAUGAGAAGACAAUUGUAGCUAAUGAAGUGUAUGAACUAUAAUAAAAUUGCUCGUCUCUUCGAUGCAGCCUGUUGUCUAAGCCACUAGUUUUGUAUUUCAAAAAUGGGUACCACUGCUACAGCCUACAUGACUAUUGUGUAUCCGAAUAGCAUAAUCAAACAAUCUGUUGUUUAUCAAGUUCUCCCAGAAAGCACUUGUAAUGCAGUAGAAUAUAAGCAUUAUUAUAUUCUUAUGUGUUAUGUUUGGGAUGUUUAAAUUGUGAAUAUCAUAUGGCAUAUGUUAUUUCAGGGUACCUUCGUGAUUUUACUGUGAUUCUCCUAAUUCUUUACCAAGUGAAGUGAAUUGGAGUAGUUACUUCUUUUAUUUCCAUCUCAUGUUUUGCUUAAUACCUAGUUGAAUUGUUUAAUGUGGAACGCGCAUUAUGUUUGCCUUCGUACUUAAUGAUACUGCUGUUUUUCUUGGCAGAUUCACAGUGGAUACCUCUGUAUCUAGAGGUUGUAGGCACCUCUGGAAAUGUGACUACUGAGGAUGUUGCUUUCAUGCUUAAUAUAGACUAGGAUUGAACACAAAUUUGGAUCUGAUAAAGCUUACAUUGGCUGGAGACUUUAUUUACGAUCAUUUUGGGUUGGCUUUCUUGUUAUGUGCCUUUGGCAUGUCACUCUGUGGCGGUAGUGACUCCGCUGUGGGAAAGAACUGCUUCCUUCUUGCUUGAUAGGGGGAGGGGAUGCUUCCGUUCAUCAGUGCAGACUAUAAGUGCUCUCCGAAUCGUGGUGGAUAGUUACUCAUCACACGGCUCAAGUUAGGGGUUGGAUGUAGAAUAAGAAUCUUAUGUUAAUGAAUGUUUUGUGGAAGAUAAGAGUUAUAGCAAGUGAUGUAUGUGUUGAUAAUUUGUAG